UCUGCCACAAGGCUGACAUGCUGGACAAGUUGGCGCACCCCGAUGACUGCACCAAGUACUGUGUGUGUGUCGACAAGGUGGCUUACGAAGAGGACUGUCUGCCUGGCCUCUGGUUCGACUUGAAUUUUUAUGAGUGCAACUGGCCCGUGGACGUUGACUGUGGCUCCCGUCCCGUCCCGUAGUGCAGGCCUCCAAACCAUCCCCUACAUACCCUCUCCCCACCUUCGGGUCCUCCCUUGCCUACGCCUCGCACACACGUUGAGCAACACCCGUUACGGCGGAGACAUUGGACGGGGAAUUGAAGUGACCAGAGAGGGAAAAGAGAACGUGUUGUAUACUUCUGAAUAAGUAAAUAAAAGCGGUGUUUACGUGCAUGAGUUUAUUUCUGUCCCCGGGUAGUGUAUAUAUAGACGUGCACUGUUUGUAAAUGAUUGAUGGGCCGUGAUGAUGCAUAUACACUAGAAAGCAAACGUGGCGGUUGGCCCACACGCCUCCUCUAUCUGAUGACGUUCGGCGCAUCAUGUGGGGUGCUAUCACCUUUAUAUAUCUGCUUGCCUGCGCUAUCUUCCCAAGUUCUUUCUCGACAUUUAACAAGAUGCAGACCAAAGCAACACUCAUGGCCAUGCUGGUGGUGGCAGUGGCCGGGACCCUUGUGAAUGGACAGACCUUUGAAACCACAGAGGUGCCAAAGAAACGGUGCCGUGAAGAAGUGUCGGCGUUGUGCCCUGAGGAAGACGGCUCCACG